GGCCCUAUCGUCUAGCGGCUAGGACAUCAGGUUCUCAUCCUGGAAACCGGGGUUCGAUUCCCCGUAGGGUCA
rnacentral:tRNA from 1 species